AGUCGAGGCUGUGAUGGGCUGUCCUCUGUGGUGGCUUGAAAGAAAAUGGUCCCCAAAGGAAUGGUACUAUUAGAAGACGUGGCUUUGCUCAAGUAGGUGUGGUGUUGUUGGAGGAGGUGCGGUCACUGCAGAAGCCGGCUUUGAGGGCUCAUGUAUGCUCAAGCCAUGCCCAGUGAGACAGACCACUUCCUGUUGCCUACAAGUGAAGAUGCUCCAUCUCCAGUACCUGGCCUACAGGCCACCACGUUCCCCACCAUGAUGAUGAUAAUGGACUGAACCUCUGCACUGGGGGAGUUACAGACUGAGCUGCUGUCACGAGUGUCUAGACUUUGUUAUCUUCUCAUCCUUCCCUACUUCACAGACUGGAAGGAGACUUGGUUUCUUUCUUCCCGAGUCCUCUGAUUUCCAUUCCUGCUUCAUUGUGCUCCCAGAUCUCCGGGCCACCUUGGCGUGUUCCCAACCUCAGUUUCAUUUCUGGAUGGCGCGGUUGUUGAACCUGAGCGGCCGUGACGCUAGGCGGCUGGCACUCCUACCAUGCAGGUUGACUUGUGGGCUGCAGAGGUCUCGGCAGCAUCACCGCCCCGGCUCAGGUGUCAGCA